UGAGAUGGCUGGUAAAUAUUUUGAGGUGU
rnacentral:piRNA from 1 species